AUUGAACGCUGGCGGCAGGCCUAACACAUGCAAGUCGAGCGGAGCGGCGGACGGGUGGGUAAUGCCUAGGAAUCUGCCUGGUAGUGGGGGAUAACGUCCGGGAACGGGCGCUAAUACCGCAUACUAUCAGAUGAGUCUAGGUCGGAUUAGCUAGUUGGUGGGGUAAAGGCCUACCAAGGCGACGAACCGUAACUGGUCUGAGUGGAUGAUCAGUCACACUGCAACUGAGACACGGUCCAGACGCCGACGGGAGGCAGCAGUGGGGAAUAUUGGACAAUGGGCGAAAGCCUGAUCCAGCCAUGCCGCGUGUGUGAAGAAGGGCUUCGGAUUGUAAAGCACUUUAAGUUGGGAGGCGGUACCUACAGAAUAAGCACCGGCUAACUCCGUGCCAGCAGCCGCGGUAAUAC
rnacentral:rRNA from 1 species